rnacentral:antisense_RNA from 1 species
CUUGAUCGAGCCCAGCCACAGCGGCUUCUCCGGGUCGCGGUCCUUGCCGUAGGUGGCCAGCAACGCCUGCGCCUC